GAUGAACGCUGGCGGCGUGCCUAAUACAUGCAAGUCGAGCGAACAGACGAGGCGCUCGCUCCUCUGACGUUAGCGGCGGACGGGUGAGUAACACGUGGCUAACCUACCUCUCUGACUGAGAUAACUUCGAGAGGCCGUAGUUCCUACCGGAUAAUAUCUCGAACCGCAUGGUUCAGUAGUGAAAGACGGUUUUUCUGUCACUUCUAGAUGUAUCCGCGCCGCAUUAGCUAGUUGGUAAGGUAACGGCUUACCAAGGCAGCGAUGCGUAGCCGACGUGAGAGGGGGGUAGGCCACACGGGAGCUGAGACACGGACCAGACGCCUGCGGGACGGAGCAGUAGGGUAUCGGCCGCAAUGGGCGAGAGCCUUACGGAACAACGGCGCGUGAGUGGUGGAGGUCUUCGGAGAGGAAUACUCGGUUAUUAGGGAAGAACAUAUGUGUAAGGAACUGAACACGUCGUGACGGUACCUAAACAGAAAGCCACGGCUAACUACGUG
rnacentral:rRNA from 1 species